rnacentral:rRNA from 1 species
UACGUAGGGUGCAAGCGUUGUCCGGAAUUAUUGGGCGUAAAGAGCUCGUAGGCGGUUUGUCGCGUCUGCUGUGAAAACCUAAGGCUCAACCUUGGGCUUGCAGUGGGUACGGGCAGACUAGAGUGCGGUAGGGGGUGACUGGAAUUCCUGGUGUAGCGGUGGAAUGCGCAGAUAUCAGGAGGAACACCGAUGGCGAAGGCAGGUCACUGGGCCGCAACUGACGCUGGAGGAAGCGGAAAGCAUGGGGAGCGAACAGG